UACAGAGGUGCCGAGCGUUAGGCGGAAUCACUGGGCUUAAAGCGUGUGUAGGCGGGUCGUUAAGUGCCUUGUGAAAUCCCACAGCUCACCUGUGGAACUGCUUGGCAUACUGGCGAUCUUGAGCCACUUAGGGGCAACCGGAACAAACGGUGGAGCGGUGAAAUGCUUAGAUAUCGUCAAGAACACCUAUAGCGAAGGCAGCUUACUAGGCUGUAACUGACGCUGAGGCACGAAAGCGUGGGGAGCAAACAGG
rnacentral:rRNA from 1 species